GGUGUAGCGCAGUUGGUAGCGCGCCUGGUUCGGGACCAGGAGGUCAUGGGUUCAAGUCCCGUCACU
rnacentral:tRNA from 1 species